GUGAAAUUGUUGAAAGGGAAACGAUUGAAGUCAGUCGUGCCGUUGAGAAAUCAACUUAGCUAGUUUCAGUUUUUGAAUUGGAGAUAGGGUCAAACCAUCACGGUUUUAAAAUUGGGGCUUGUUGGGUGUACUUUCUUUUUUGGCAGGUCAGCGUCGAUUUUGGGGGUUGUAAAAUGACUGGGGGAAUGUAGCUCCCUUCGGGGAGUGUUAUAGACCCUGGGGGAUGCAGCCUACGGGAUCGAGGAUUGCAGCAAAUGCUUCAGCUUGUCGUCUAUCCGUUAAACGUCACCCUGCUUGUGACAAUAUUCUUGACACUUUGUGGGACUUGGUUAGAACGUUCUAAAAUUUGCUAAGGAUGCUGACGUAAUGGCUUUAAACGAC
rnacentral:rRNA from 1 species